rnacentral:rRNA from 1 species
ACGAGUUUGAUCAUGGCUACAGAACACGCUGGCGGCAUGCCUAACACAUGCAAGUCGAACGAGACCUUCGGGUCUAGUGGCGCACGGGUGCGUAACGCGUGGGAACCUGCCUUUAGGUUCGGAAUAACUCAGAGAAAUUUGAGCUAAUACCGGAUAAUGUCUUCGGACCAAAGAUUUAUCGCCCUGAGAUAAGCCCGCGUAGGAUUAGCUAGUUGGUGAGGUAAAGGCUCACCAAGGCGACGAUCCUUAGCUGGUCUGAGAGGAUGAUCAGCCACACUGGGACUGAGACACGGCCCAGACUCCUACGGGAGGCAGCAGUGGGGGAAUAUUGGACAAUGGGCGAAAGCCUGAUCCAGCAAUGCCGCGUGAGUGAUGAAGGCCUUCGGGUUGUAAAGCUCUUUUACUCGGGACGAUAAUGACGGUACCGAGAGAAUAAGCCCCGGCUAACUCCGUG